rnacentral:miRNA from 1 species
GGUUAUAAAACAAUUCUCUCUCUCUCUCUCUCUCUCUCUCUCUCUCUCUCUCUCUCUGUGUGUGUGUGUAUGUGUGUGUGUGUGUGUGAGAGAGAGAGAGAGAGAAAGAGAGAGAGAGAGAGAGAAACUCGCCCCUG